CCGAAGUUAAGAUGGUUUUAC
rnacentral:siRNA from 1 species